GCAAUUUUAGUUUAAUAUAGAAUGUUGGUUUGUCUAGCCGUUGGUGAUGUUUAUCAAAUUGCU
rnacentral:tRNA from 1 species